rnacentral:lncRNA from 1 species
AUGGGCGGGGGCGUCCAGCAGCGCGGGAAAUUAGUCUUGGGUGCGGGACUCCGGGCUUGGAAGAGAGGUAGGAGUAAAGGAACGCCGCAGUACGCACGCACACACGCAGCGACGCCCACGCCGGGCGUCCCUACGCUCAUAGCGUCCUCCUCUCUAGUCAGAUUCCCGCUCUGCUGCGGUUUCUGGGGCUUCCGUGAGGAACGGAUUUUCGAGGAGUGGAUUCCUGAGAGAAGAAAGUCCCAGAGACGCGCGAGACUUGCUGAGCCCCUACAGACGCCAAGCAGCAGAGCUGGGUCAAAAAGCACCCCACACAAGUUAAAUAGUAUCAAGACCAACCAAAGAAACCAACUAACAGAUGAACAAAGAAGUCACUAAGCAGGUAAGUUAAAUAAUUAGUUUUUGGCUUAUUAAAUACAGUUAUACAUUAUAAAAUUAAACAUUUUUGUUAUUUAAAGUAUGAAUAUUAUGAAAUUAUAGUGUUUUUUUUUUCUUGAAGUGACAUAUCACCUGAGUUAUGCUUGUUUUUUUGGAGAAUUUUGACAUAUUAAGCUCAAAAGGUUGCCCAUCACUGAUGUAGUAGAAGAAGACCUAGAGUUAGAAAUUGGAUCUGCCAUUUACUAUCAACAAGUGAUUUUGUCUCUCUGGGGCUCAGCCUCUUUACCUACAGAAGAGGUAAUAGGACUAGAUGAUGACCAGGAUUCCUUCCAUUUCUCCCUUAUAUGAUACUACUGUGCACACAAUCUGUGUUUUGUUUUUUAUACAUAGAUAAUUUUAAGAGAUUAUUUUGUAUUAUAAAUAGGGCAGUUUAGUGCUUAAAUUUGUAUGUAACGAACCAUUUCUUUCUCUAGGUCACAUAACUUGUUUUAUUUUAGGAGCAUAUUGCUAGCAAAGAAUGCUGGCCAGACUGGUGAAGAAUUCUGCCACCAGGCAGCUGUAAUUCUUCCUUCAUUUCCAUAUUCAUGAAUCUUAUAAGCACCGAAUCAAGUAAAUUUCAAUGUACACUUGAGUGAUCUCAUUUGUUUUUGAGCCAAGGGAUAAAAUGGCCCUAGACAGUGUACACCCUUGCCUGACAGGACAGUUCACUUAUAUAAUAAGCCUUAGAGGGAAAAAUGUGAAAUUGGAAGGGAAAGAGUAGGCAGAAAAACAGCCAAGUUUUAUUCAGUGUCUUUGAGGAUCAUACAGAUUCUGCCUGUUCUGAUUUGUUUCCAUACAUUUCAAAUGAAAAAUAGCAUCUAAACCCAGGAGAAGGUAAGGACAAAGUUAGGAAGAAGAUUUUGGAGGCAGGAGCCUAUUGAACAAGGAAAACAUAUUUAUAAUAUACAAUUGAAGAAAUAUACCUUUUUAAAAAAAGGCUUUUUGAAAGGUUUAUCAUUUGGAAGAUUUCUACUGAUUUUAUUCAUAACAUUUCAUUUCUAGUAAUGCUGUAGAAAAAGAAUUUUCAAGUUUAUGCAGCACUCUUAGCAAUCCUGUAUGCAAAUAUCAUGGUAACAUCAAGUCCCAAAACCCAGUAAGAUAUUCUGCUCAUUGCUGAAUAUCAGUUUUCUGGCAUGUGGGAGCAGGACAUCAAAGAAUCAUCAUCUAAAUUCAACAGAUAAGAGAUAUUGAAUGACUUGACCAAGGUCACAUAAACAUAAUUGCUUUAGGCAAUGUUAGAUCUCUGGCUUCCAGAGGACUAAUCCUUUGCUCUUUUGACUAAAAAGUAGGUACAUCCACAGAGCUUUUCCAGCUCAGUAGUCACUUACACAAUCUCUCAUCACAUUGUACAAACUCCUGAAUUACUCAUAACUGGAAGCAGGCUCCAAGUUACCACAGAGUGAACCAGAGGCAAGCAGAAAACAUGUAUACAUUCUCUGGACAACCCCUAGUAUACUUAAAAUACUGCUACUAAAAUCUUUGAAAAUAUAUUUUUGUUUUUUUUUUUUAACAUUUUCAGAAUACAGAUAGCUCUUCUAUAUCUUGUCUUUGCCCAUCUCAGCUUUGAUGUAUCAUGGAUCUGAAAAAAAAAAUUAAAUGGCAAUUUUGGGGGCAAGUUUUGCAGAAGAUACAGACAGCACAAGAAGGUCAGUAAAAGACAUAGAAUAUGUUUAGUAACUCAGAAAUGCAUAGAAUAUAUUCAUAGUAUUGUAUAAUAUCAACAUUUUAUCUUUUAAUACCAUAAAUAUGCACAAUUCCUUUUUUUAAAGUUACGUAAAAAGCUCAACUUUAUGAAAAGGAAAUGAAAGCCAGCUGGUAACACACAAAGGCUAGAAAUGUUAAUAUUGACCUACAUAUAUUCUACAACCAAAUACUUAACCCAAAUUUUACAAUAAGGGACUGUAAACACACCAUAAAAUCAAAGGGGGAAAAAAAAACAACCUCAAGCUUUUCUUGUACAAAGGGAGGACCAAAAUAUUUUACCUGGAUUUUCCAGAUCCCUGGUGCUUCAACCCUAAUCUGCCAUGUGGAAAGAAUAUCUGUAUAUUCCCAGUAAGGUAGAGAGACAUCAUGGUAUAGUGAUAGAUGACCUUGGAGAAAGGAAGAUCUAGGUUCAUUCUCUACUCUGACUGUACUGGCUAUGUGAGCACACACACACAAAACACUGUCCAGGAAACUCUGUGAAGACAAUAAAUAACAAGGAAAAUGUCA